AGCGGAGGAAAAGAAACUAACAAGGAUUCCCCUAGUAACUGCGAGUGAAGCGGGAAGAGCUCAAAUUUAAAAUCUGGUAGUCUUUGGCUGCCCGAGUUGUAAUCUAGAGAAGCGUUAUCCGCGCUGGACCGUGUAUAAGUCUCCUGGAAUGGAGCGUCAUAGAGGGUGAGAAUCCCGUCUUUGACACGGACUACCAGGGCUUUGUGAUGCGCUCUCAAAGAGUCGAGUUGUUUGGGAAUGCAGCUCUAAAUGGGUGGUAAAUUCCAUCUAAAGCUAAAUAUUGGCGAGAGACCGAUAGCGAACAAGUACCGUGAGGGAAAGAUGAAAAGAACUUUGGAAAGAGAGUUAAACAGUACGUGAAAUUGUUGAAAGGGAAACGCUUGAAGUCAGUCACGUUGGCUAGGAAUCAGCCUUGCUUUUGCUUGGUGUAUUUCCUGGUUUUAACGGGUCAGCAUCAAUUUUGACCGGUGGAA
rnacentral:rRNA from 1 species